GGUGGGCACCAUCCAAUCUGCUGCCAGCACAGCCAGAACACAGUAGGCGGAAGAAGGUGGGAUAGGCUGGCUUGAUGAGCCUUCUGACUUUCACCUUUCUCCCCUGCUGGAUGCAUCCAUCCAUCUCUCCCUCCUGCCUUCAGACAUCAGACUCCAGCUUCUUUGGCCUUUGGACUCUUAGACUUACACUAGUGGUUUGCUGGGGGCUUUCCGGCCUUUGGCCACAGACUGAAGGCUGCAUCGUCAGCUUCCCUACCUUUGAAGAUUUUGGACUUUGACUGAGUCACUAUUGGCUUCUUUCUUCCUCAGCUUGCAGACGGCCUAUCAUGGGACUUCACCUUGUGAUCAAAGGAGAAGGACUGAGGUGUUCUAUCUCUUUCCGGCACAAAUCAUCACUUCACAUAUCCCUUCUAGACAGCAGCUGUAUGAUAGCAUGAUACUUUUUUCUACUUGUUCUGAAGUGUGAACCGGAAAGAGCAGAAAGUGUUAGCCAGAGAAAAGACAUCCCUCUGUGAGG
rnacentral:lncRNA from 1 species